rnacentral:rRNA from 1 species
AACGUAGGAGGCGAGCGUUAUCCGGAUUUACUGGACGUAAAGCGCACGCAGGCGGUUACGUUAGUCGGACGUGAAAGCACCUGGCUUAACUGGGAGAGGCCAUUCGAUACUGCGGGACUUGAGGUUGGGAGAGGAGUGUGGAAUUCCCGGUGUAGUGGUGGAAUGCGUAGAGAUCGGGAGGUACACCUGUGGCGAAAGCGGCACUCUGGCCCACACCUGACGCUGAGGUGCGAAAGCGUGGGUAGCAAACAGG